UUUCCUUCUAAUCUGCUUAUUCUCUGAAUUGGAGAGGAUCUUGAACCUUUUUGAGAACCUCCCUCAGUCCUUUGGACUCUUGUAAGUAAUCCCUUCAUGCUUAGUUUAAUUUUUAGCGUUUUAACCAAAAGUCAAGCGUUUUCGAUAAACGCUUUGACUUUUAAACGGUUAAGCCAUUGUUCGCAACGAACAUGGCUACGUGACCAUAAUUAGGUAGGUGUUUAACCCUCAAAAGGGCACCUCCUAAUUACCACAUUUACUUAGUUAAAUUGUCGGGUCAAAUGAAAGUCAAACGGGUUAGUAUUAAAUAAAUUCAUAACUAUUAAUAUAAAAACCAUAAAAUCAGUUUUCUCACUUUAAUAACUUGGUAAAUAUUAGUUGAUCAUGUCUAAGCAUGUUCAACCCGACAAUUCUAAGUAUAGGCUCGGUUCGGAACCGAAAGUCGCAAAAAUAUGCCUUAGGAUUCCAUUAGGACCAUAUUAUAAGUUAGUAUAACCCUCCAAGGUUAUACAACUUGGUUCCAUAGAAAUCCUAGUUCAUGCAUGUUUCCGUAAAAUGCUUAAAAGUUGACCAUUAUGCCCAAAUGCCCUUAAAAUGUGAUUUUUGGAAAUGUAAAAGAGUAGAAACCUUAGUUACUGAUUUAUAAACUUGUACCCAAAAUUUGAUAUCAGUUUGAGGUCUAAAAUAGGAGUUAUGCUCAUUAGCGUAAUUAGAAAGUUUUUAUGAAUUAAUCGGCGUAAUUAGCAUAUAGCCUAUCUAAACCCGAUUUUCGAUACCAAACUUUAUACCUACUGAUGUAAUAAAAUAUUUUGGGAUUUUUGGAGAUUUUUUAUUUAUUUUUAGGCUGAGCAUAACUUAGUGUUCUAAGCUUAAUUCGGCUAAUGCCGGUUUUGCCCUUUUGGGCUAUAAAAUGAGUUUUAUAAAUCCGAUUGACCCCAAACCUUUUUCUACUGAUCUAAUAUGUUAACUAAAUUAUUUUGAGCCUGCUGGAAUUUUAAAAAUAUCAGUUUUCUAUAUAAAACCCGGAAAUGGCUCCAAAUCGCCUUUUUAAGCGUUUUUAACGCAUAAGUAUGUGCUAGAACCUAUCUAAGCAUAUGAGGUUGAAACCUACUGAUGUAUUCAGUAAAAUUUUAUAUUUUAAACAAUAGGAGAAUAUCUUAAGAUCAGAAUUCCAGUUUUGACCUUUUAAGCAUAUGUGAAAUUACCAAAACGCCCAUGCGGCGUCUAGAAUGAUUAAGAUCGAUAAAUUUCACAUAGGAUUAAUACCCUACUUUUAUAACUUAGUAAAUUAAGUAUAUUUACUGAUUUAAUCAGACCUGUAACUCAGGUUAUUAUUUAAACCCUUUUUCACCCUUUAAAAUGACCAAAAUGCCCUUAUGAGGCAUAAAUUGGGUCUAAAACCAUUUGGGGCAUAAUGGAAGGUAUCAUUCUGAUAUCACAACAUGUUUAAAGCAUAUUAACUUAGAAAACUUGUUCAUGACUCUUAUGGUUACUCGUUACGCAUGUUUCGCGUUCGGAUCGGUUUAUGUAACUAGUUUGCAUAAAAUAACCGAAACGGGUCAAACCAUAUCAUUUUCACUUCAAAAUCCAGAAUGUUUUUAGUUUACCCAUAUUAUACAAGUCUCCAAACUUGUCGGGUCUAAAUCACAUUCUAAUCCAGUCUGCGCUUAAUCAUGCGUUUUGAACCGUAUCCUCCUUUAAAACUAACCGGUCUAAGCAUAGGCUUAAAUAAGACCCGUUAGGAAUCUAAUAGGUUAUUAAAACCUUCGUUCCAGAUUAAGAGCCCCAGUAGAAGUACUUGUGCUUGCUGAUUUGAUAUACGGCUGGGAUUGAAUUUAUAUUUAGCUCAGGUAAAUACUUUUAACUUAUUUUCCCUUAUACGGGCUUGGGAUACGGUAUAUAAAAUACCGCUUGGUCGGGUGUAGAAACCUUUUAAUCGGAGAUGAUUAAAUUGCAUAAUCCCGUUUUAAUCUGUAUUGCUUGAUAACAAAUAACAUUGGGGGUUAAUGACCGUGUCCUGGAUAUCCUUGGCUCAUUUAAAAAGUGAAUGGCCACAACGUAAGCACAAGGUGUAGGCAUAACACCUCCUGUUGCUUAUGUAAAGCAUAUACUCACUCGUAAGGGUGUCUUCUUGUGAGAUUAUAUUUGUGGUGUGUCUAUUAAUUUUGACCGGCUUGUAUUAUCACCGGCCCUAUAUGUUGGACAAACAUGUAAAUCGGAUACAAGAUUUUUAUUAAUAAAAUUAUCCCAAGUUAUAAAAAUAAUUUGUGCCUUGUGCAUUCAAAUCAAUUUUCUAAACGUUUUCAAAAUGAGUCAGUUAAAUUGUAUUUACCAGUGAAAACUGACGUAUUUUCCAAAAAGGUUAAGUGACAGGUACUGUACGUAAUUGGCUGGGAGCUCAGGGCGUCAAUAGGGAAUCUUGCAAGUUUUAGAUGCCUAAAGUCUGUUGAACAGUUUUCUUUUAUUUUGAUCCGUCUGUGGAUCCCUUUGCAUACCGUUUGUAAUACUUUGAUAUUCUCAUUCGGUUGUAAUAAAAUUAUCUU
rnacentral:lncRNA from 1 species